AGGCAGUAGAGGGGCUGGAUUAAGAUUUGUUUGGGAUCCAGAGGGCUUGGCUUUAUUUAUUUGUUUAUUUGCAGGGGAAAGAGGUUGAAGAGGAGGACAGAUUGCAUUUGGUUGAAAUGAUUGGGUGGUUGCCACUAUAAAGAUGCAAGCUAAAGCUAGAAGCGAAAGAAUUGAAAUAGCAAAAGUAGUGGAAUUGGAAGCUCAGCAGAAAGCAGCUGAGGAGGCUGCAGAGAACAAAAGCCUCUGAGAAUGUUAAGAAUACUACAGUUCGUUGAUGCUCCUGAGAUUGUAAACAAGAUCUCAGGGCAGGCAGUGGAAUUAGGAUCUGAUGUACAAAGUUCUCUACAAUCACGAGGUGCAUUUUGAUCAUA